rnacentral:tRNA from 1 species
UUCGGGGUCGUCUAAUGGUAGGACGCCUGGCUCUGGACCAGGUAAUAAAGGUUCGAAUCCUUUCCCCGAAGCCA